rnacentral:rRNA from 1 species
UACGGAGGGUGCGAGCGUUGUCCGGAAUCACUGGGCGUAAAGGGCGCGUAGGCGGCCUGGUAAGUAGGGGGGUGAAAUCCUGCGGCUUAACCGCAGGGCUGCCUUCUAAACUGUCAGGCUCGAGCACGGUAGAGGCAGAUGGAAUUCCCGGUGUAGCGGUGGAAUGCGUAGAGAUCGGGAAGAACAUCAGUGGCGAAGGCGGUCUGCUGGGCCGUUGCUGACGCUGAGGCGCGACAGCGUGGGGAGCGAACAGG